GCAUAAUGGGAAUUUGCUCUGCCUAAUAACGGUAACUUCGUGUCGAGACUCACCCCAUCGAGGGAAGGGGCAGGUCUUUGAUAAUGAAUUGGGUAUUAAGGUAUUCGAGUCUACCUCUUCUUAGACUGGACUAUAUUUCCUACUUAUCAUACCUUUGCCACGUGUCCUAGUCCCAAGGUGACAACUCAUAAUUUACUUUGGAUGAUUGUUAUCUAGCAUCAAAUGUCCCCCGCCAGUCUUCAAUUCUUCAAGAUUCGAAAGUGACAGUUUGUCUUUUUUAUUACAUGGCAUAUUUUCACCGUUUGCAUCAUUUUGUCUCCC
rnacentral:lncRNA from 1 species